rnacentral:rRNA from 1 species
AUGGAUGGGUCAGAGGUUCGUUUCUGGGAAGACAUAUGGCUAGGCAAUGCCAGUUUCCGAGAGCAAUACCCAGCCUUAUAUGUCAUUGCUCGCGAUAAGAGUAAUACUAUUGCGCAAGUGCUUAGUUCAUCCCCGCCGAAUAUUUCGUGCAGGCGGGAUUUGAUUGGCCCUCGACUUUUGGCAUGGCAUAAUCUUUUAUCCCGUCUGGAUUCGAUUAAUCUGACACAAGGCCGGGAUGCGUUUCACUGGAAACUCACAACAUCAGGGUCUUACACAGUAGACUCAAUGUAUCGUGCGCUUAUGCAUUCCGAGGUGCCAGUGAAUAAUAACAAAAAAAAUGGAAGUCUAAGAUUCCACUAA